rnacentral:tRNA from 1 species
GGGGACGUAGCUCAGUUGGCAGAGCACCUGGUUUGCAACCAGGGGGUCGUCGGUUCGAGUCCGAUCGUCUCCACCA